CGCGUAGGCGGAAUGUCAAGUUAGGGGUGAAAGGCCUGGGCUCAACCUAGGAACUGCCUCUAAAACUGAUGUUCUAGAGUCCGGGAGAGGAUGGCGGAAUUCCCAGUGUAGAGGUGAAAUUCGUAGAUAUUGGGAAGAACACCAGUGGCGAAGGCGGCCAUCUGGUCCGGCACUGACGCUGAGGCGCGAAAGCGUGGGGAGCAAACA
rnacentral:rRNA from 1 species